rnacentral:rRNA from 1 species
GAUGAACGCUAGCGGCAGGCCUAAUACAUGCAAGUCGAACGAGAUUAAGAGGCUUGCUUCUUAUGAAAGUGGCGCACGGGUGCGUAACGCGUAUGCAACCUACCUUAAUCAGGGGGAUAGCCCGAAGAAAUUCGGAUUAAGACCGCAUAAAAACACAGGAUAGCAUUAUCCAAUGUUCAAAUAUUUAUAGGAUUAAGAUGGGCAUGCGUGUCAUUAGCUAGUUGGCGGGGUAACGGCCCACCAAGGCGACGAUGACUAGGGGAUCUGAGAGGAUGACCCCCCACACUGGUACUGAGACACGGACCAGACUCCUACGGGAGGCAGCAGUAAGGAAUAUUGGUCAAUGGAGGGAACUCUGAACCAGCCAUUCCGCGUGCAGGAAGACAGCCCUCUGGGUCGUAAACUGCUUUUAUUCGGGAAUAAACCUUUCUACGUGUAGGAAGCUGAAUGUACCGAAGGAAUAAGGAUCGGCUAACUCCGUG